rnacentral:rRNA from 1 species
GACGAACGCUGGCGGCGUGCUUAACACAUGCAAGUCGAACGGGAUAAUUUGAGAGCUUGCUCUUAGAGAAUCUAGUGGCAAACGGGUGAGUAACACGUAGACAACCUGCCGACAGGAUGGGGACAACAUUCCGAAAGGAAUGCUAAUACCGAAUGAAGCGGAGGAGAGGCAUCUCUCCUCCGUGAAAGAUGGCCUCUGAAUAUGCUAUCACCUGUCGAUGGGUCUGCGUCUGAUUAGCUAGUUGGUGAGGUAACGGCUCACCAAGUCGACGAUCAGUAGCCGGUCGGAGAGAAUGGACGGCCACAUUGGGACUGAGACACGGCCCAGACUCCUACGGGAGGCAGCAGUGGGGAAUCUUCCGCAAUGGGCGCAAGCCUGACGGAGCAACGCCGCGUGAGUGAAGAAGGUCUUCGGAUCGUAAAGCUCUGUUGACGGGGACGAACGUGCGAAGGGUGAAUAAUCCUUUGUAAUGACGGUACCUGUCGAGGAAGCCACGGCUAACUACGUG